CAGCCGCCGCGGGAAUACGUAGGUGGCAAGCGUUGUCCGGAAUUAUUGGGCGUAAAGGGCUCGCAGGCGGUUUCUUAAGUCUGAUGUGAAAGCCCCCGGCUCAACCGGGGAGGGUCAUUGGAAACUGGGAAACUUGAGUGCAGAAGAGGAGAGUGGAAUUCCACGUGUAGCGGUGAAAUGCGUAGAGAUGUGGAGGAACACCAGUGGCGAAGGCGACUCUCUGGUCUGUAACUGACGCUGAGGAGCGAGAGCGUGGGGAGCGAACAGGAUUAGAUACCCCUGUAGUCCCUGUCUCUUAUAC
rnacentral:rRNA from 1 species